UACGUAGGUGGCAAGCGUUGUCCGGAAUUAUUGGGCGUAAAGCGCGCGCAGGCGGUCCUUUAAGUCUGAUGUGAAAGCCCACGGCUCAACCGUGGAGGGUCAUUGGAAACUGGGGGACUUGAGUACAGAAGAGGAAAGCGGAAUUCCACGUGUAGCGGUGAAAUGCGUAGAGAUGUGGAGGAACACCAGUGGCGAAGGCGGCUUUCUGGUCUGUAACUGACGCUGAGACGCGAAAGCGUGGGGAGCGAACCGG
rnacentral:rRNA from 1 species